UACGAAGGGGGCUAGCGUUGUUCGGAAUCACUGGGCGUAAAGCGCACGUAGGCGGUUUGUUAAGUCAGAGGUGAAAUGCCAAGGCUCAACCUUGGAACUGCCUUUGAUACUGGCAAUCUCGAGUCCGGGAGAGGUGAGUGGAACUGCGAGUGUAGAGGUGAAAUUCGUAGAUAUUCGCAAGAACACCAGUGGCGAAGGCGGCUCACUGGCCCGGUACUGACGCUGAGGUGCGAAAGCGUGGGGAGCAAACAGG
rnacentral:rRNA from 1 species